UACAGAGGUCUCAAGCGUUGUUCGGAUUCAUUGGGCGUAAAGGGUGCGUAGGCGGCGCGGUAAGUCGGGUGUGAAACUUCGGAGCUUAACUCCGAAACUGCAUUCGAUACUGCCGUGCUUGAGGACUGGAGAGGAGACUGGAAUUUACGGUGUAGCGGUGAAAUGCGCAGAUAUCAGGAAGAACACCCGUGGCGAAGGCGGCUCUCUGGGACGGUACUGACGCUGAGACGCGAAAGCGUGGGGAGCGAACAGG
rnacentral:rRNA from 1 species